rnacentral:misc_RNA from 1 species
GAUGAAGAACGCAGCGAAAUGCGAUAAGUAAUGUGAAUUGCAGAAUUCAGUGAAUCAUCGAAUCUUUGAACGCACAUUGCGCCCGCUGGUAUUCCGGCGGGCAUGCCUGUUCGAGCGUCAUUUCAACCCUCAAGCUCUCCGGAGUUUGGUGUUGGGGCGCCUGGGGCUUUUCGACCUCAGGGCCCUCAAGUCCAUCGGCGGGACCGCCAGGACACUGAGCGCAGUAGUAUUAUUUCGCUCGGUAGGAUCUUCCACGGCGGGUCGAUCUGGCCGCUAAACCCCCCAAUUCUCACCAAAGGAUGACCUCGGAUCAGGUAGGAAUACCCGCUGAACUUAAGCAUAUCAAUAAGCGGAGGA